GACGAACGCUGGCGGCGUGCUUAACACAUGCAAGUCGUACGGUAAGGCCCUUUCGGGGGUACACGAGUGGCGAACGGGUGAGUAACACGUGAGUAACCUGCCCACAACUUUGGGAUAACGCUAGGAAACUGGUGCUAAUACUGGAUAUGUGCUCCUGCUGCAUGGUGGGGGUUGGAAAGCUCCGGCGGUUGUGGAUGGACUCGCGGCCUAUCAGCUUGUUGGUGGGGUAGUGGCCUACCAAGGCGGCGACGGGUAGCCGGCCUGAGAGGGUGACCGGCCACGUUGGGACUGAGAUACGGCCCAGACUCCUACGGGAGGCAGCAGUGGGGAAUAUUGCACAAUGGGCGCAAGCCUGAUGCAGCAACGCCGCGUGCGGGAUGACGGCCUUCGGGUUGUAAACCGCUUUCAGCAGGGACGAAGCUUUUUGUGACGGUACCUGCAGAAGAAGCACCGGCUAACUACGU
rnacentral:rRNA from 1 species